rnacentral:lncRNA from 1 species
AUGUACAUGCAGGUCUCUAUGUGUGUGUUAGUGUGUAUAUUGGAAGUGCAACCAAGCAAGUCCGUGACAUGUACACACGGGCUCGAUUCCCUCCGGCCCGGUGCAGCAGAAUGCAAUAGAUUCGGAUGGGCUAUGUUUGUACAUGGGCCCUGUAAGGUAUGCAUGGUAGCCGGGCUAUCCGUCCGUGUUAGGAUGUAAACGUGCUAUAUUUCGUACCACCGACUAGCACUUUCAAUGGCGAGCUAAGGAGUUAUACUUUUGGAAAGAUUCCUACAUUCAGUUUUGGCAGGAAUCAUAUUCCUUGGAUCAAGUGCACUGAGCUUACAAUGGGGUGCUUGCAAGCAAGCGUUCGUGCAAUGUGUGGGUGUAUAUGUCGAAUGCGAGAGAGAGAGUGAAAGGGGUCCGGUUCCCUUUAUAUAGGCCAGGGAUCGGGCAACAACGUUAAGAAAUGGAGGGAGUCUCCGACCUCAGAGGUCGGGGUUGCGGCGUGGUCGGAUCUUCCUUGCACCAAGAGGCUUCCUUGUCCUAUCCUCUUAGCUGGUCGUGGGCUUCGCACGCCUUGUACGGUGGUUCCUGUGCAGCAUGGGCUGCUUACGCACGGCUCGGCCUGCUCCGUGGCGUGCCCCUGUCCCUUCCGCCAACCUCGUGGCAGUGAACGGGAUGAGAGCUGUUGCUGACAUCCGUGCUGGUGAUGAAUGGGCAGGCCUUGAUUAGUGGCCUGGACGGAGUGUGCCGCUCGUCCCGACUUUCCCUGACCUCUUUAGUGCACUUACGGCCGCACCUCACCUGCGGGACCGUACCGGGCCUAGCAUGGUGGCAUGGCCUCGAUCUUGAUGGAUCUCCUUGACAGCGAAGGCAAUGAUGACGCAAGGGCGCGUGGGCGCGUACGGCCGCGUGUGGCCUCGUCUUGCAGACCGUUCUGGGUGGUCUGAAGGGUGUAGCCUCACCCUCAAACCCCGAUUAAAAGGUCGGCUUGCCUUGCCCGAUUAUGUCCUUGGUGGGAGGCGAUCAGGGGGCCACGCUCUGCAUUUAAUACCUCUUUGUACGGUGCAAGUCUCCCUGAGUCAAGGAGUGGGUGAAGCACGGUGAGUCCCUUGCGAGCCCUGCCCCCGAGCUGGCUGAGCUGGCGAGUCAAGGCUCUUGACUCCCAACCAAGGGAGGUCGGGCGGUGGACCGCAACGUCAUCUGGGCCCUUUUCCAUAUGCUUUUAGCUGUUGAGCUUUUAACCUUUUUGUUGCCAUCACCUUAAGCCCCUUUCUUGAGGGUAUCCUGAUACAUGAACCCAUCACCUAGCAGCGCCGGUGGUGAGUGGAGGAAGAGGAAGGAGGGAGAGGAGGAAGCGGGUGGAUGGGCUCGGGACAGAGGAGGGAGGAGGAACCUGUCAAUGACGGAUGGGUCCCACCGGUACGCCGAUUACUAUCAGCCCACCAUUUUUCAUAAAAAAUUAGUUUCGCCGCGUACUCACCAAGGCCACCACCGCACCGCGUCUCACACGGUCGGGUUGGGUGGGUGGUGGAUCCACAGCACAUGAUUUCCACCACGCAUGUGCUGCGCCUUUUUUUUUAAUUGCCGCCUAGUUUCUUCUCAUAUUAAUUAGUAACAAUGCAUUUGUUUAUCUGUGGUAUGCAUCACAGCCGACAGUACAAUGCUGUUUUCUUAAGGGCGUCUGAAAUCGCACGAUUAGUUUACCAUUGUAUACCUAGCCUGAGAUCUUUGCACAAGCAUAUCAUCAAACAAUGUUACCCAACAUCUAUCAUAUUUCCUCCAUCCCAAAUUCCUAAAUUAUAAGUUAUUUUUGACUUUAUUAAAGUUAUAGACUUUAUUAUGCAUUUAAAUAUACCUUAUGUCUAUGCAUAUAGAAAAACUAAAAUAACUUAUAAUUUGGAACGGAGGAAGCAUCUGACAAGCACUCACAUCGUACUACACUCUUGUUCGGUGUCCAACUUUGACCAAUGAUCGAUCAAGACGGAAAAAGAAUGGUACUAAGCAGUAUGUAUAUCACAUUAUGUAUAGUAAGCAUCUAUUCUAGCUACAAGUUUUUUAUAAAAAAGAGAGCUGAUGAAUCGGUUGAAUUGAAUGUUGGGGGGAAGGAAUGCCGGCUGCCGUGGGCGGCAAUUCAAGUCAGUGAGCUAGUCAGAGUGGCAGGACCGCACUCCGGGAUUCCCCCCUGCUGUGGCUGAAGGAGAAGAAGGACCGCCGCAGCCUCCUCGACGAACUGUCGGCGGCGGUGUCCCCUUUGCCGGCGGCUUCUCCUUGGGAGGCCGAACCCUGCUGCAGCAGCAGGAUCCUCUGCAGAGCGAGGUAGAAGCGCCUGUCGGUGGACGAGUCCAUGGACAGCGACCGCCGCACCGGCAGCAAGUUAUUGGUGCUGCUGGGUGUUUCCUCUGCCUCGGGGCAAGUUGUGGUAGCAAUAUCUAUGACGAUGCCGUCGGCAGGCUGAAGCUCAACGACGGCGGCCCUGCAGAGCGGGCAGUUGGCGGUGGCCUGGAGCCAGGCGUCGAUGCAGUCGAUGUGGAAGGCGUGGAGGCACGGCGGCAGCAGGCGGAGCCGCUCGCCGUCGCGGAAGUCGGCCAGGCACACGGCGCACUCGGUUGCUGCGGUGCCGGCCUUGGCCACUGGUAACAGCUGCUGGCCGCCGUAGCGGAAGGUGGGGAUCCGGCGUAUGGCCACCUCCUCGAGGCCGCCGCUCCGGCGGGGUGGUUCUUGCGUAACGGAGACGGCGACGGAGAUGCUCUGGUCGGCGCGCCAGAAGAGCAGGCCGCAGCGGGUGAGGAAGAGGUAGUAGGCCAGCAGCAGGAGCGCGGUGGAGAGGAUGCCGACGAUGGACACGGACAGGAUCACGAAGCUGCUGCCGGGCACCGACGACGACUCCAUUAAUUGGAAUGGGAAUAUGGGAUUGCUGGACUGAAUGAAGCUUCUGAAGACGAUGGGUAGAUGGUGAUGGAAGAAUGGGAUUUGAAGCGAUGGACGAUCAUUACAAGUAGAAAGAAAGGAUCGAGGUUGGUUGAAACUGAACGCGGGUUCCUUCCUGCGUGCUCUGCUUUUGGUCCUUUUUGCGCGUGAGCACCAUCAUCGCGUCAAAUGCAGCUGCAGGCAAGGACCAGGAAGAAGAAGGAAACCGUGUGGUUGGCAGGCCGGCUUUUUUUUUCCCGGUGUUCUCUAGUGGAGACGAGACGACUUGACGACUGCCCAAGUCACAAGAUGGAGCAGCAGGCACAUGCACAUGCUGACAUGCUGUCCAACAGUCCAAGUCCGACGACUACCGGGGCAGGGCUUGGAUUGGAUUGGAUUGGAUCACAAGGAAGUCACUUGCUGACUUGCAAUUGUUGCAUUCUCUCUCAGCUCGCUACGUAUGAAAAAGGCAUGCUGCAGCUACUAGACUGUACUCUACUCCACGUCGUCAGGUGGACCAUCUCUCUGCUUCCUUUUCUUAUUCCCCAAAAAGGAACUCCCUCACUUGGGCUCUACCGUACCCGAAUUAGUUGACCCAACUAAUAUGGAUGCCAGCCCAUUCAACUUGCAAUACCAAAGCCCAGUAACUGCGUAUUCCCUCCGUUCCAAAGUUAUUUUAGACUUUGGUACAUAUAAGUGCGUAAUAAAAUCUAUAAAUUUAAAUAAACUAAAUAAACUAAAACGACCCGGUUACACAACUGCCAGGUGUAACCAUUAAUUAUCCAUCCGUUACUUCUUGCAGUUGUAUCCAUAUCGCACGUAACCAUGAUUCCAAAAUUCCUAGCCCUUCAUUCUGAAUGCAAUUGUAACUAAAUAUAUAUGCAAUUAUAUCUUGCUCUGCUAUAGGCUAUAGCAGCUAGCCUGCUAUGGCCAACAAAUCCUGGCCGAAUAAUAGCCUAUGCGAUACUAAAAAAAUAUAAGUUAUUGUUCAUACUUUUGGCCGAAAAUUACUUAAAAAUUUCAGAAAUCUUCAUACUACUCCAGUAAACCAAAUUAAAUGGCUACAAGUCUGAAAAAUAGCUAAAGCUUAUGCUUUAGGCCAAAAAUCAUCAUACCCCUCUAGUAACCCCGGAACGACUAGAAAAGCCAAAAACAUUAUCUAUAGUUACUGAUUUGCCCAUAAAUAUGUCAAAAUGCUUAAAUCUACCAACCUAUACACAAAAACAACGACGACUUGGAAUACCUACCAUUUUCAUUCUAGCUAUCUCAUCCUUAUCCUGCCUCGUCUACCCCUACUUCUCACACUUCGUUCAAACAUAACAGAUAAUUAGUAAGCAUCACGAAUUGAUAAGCCAUUAGUGUCGUGGCUCACUAGUAAGUAGUAACAAAUAAUAAGGAUCACAAUAUAUAUACGUGGACAGUGUAAGUUCCAACAAUUAACUUAUGAACAUGCCAUUACAAUUCCAUUAAUCUAGCUAGCAAAGUGUCAAUUUGCCGUAAACUAUUCAAUGUAGCAAUUGAAGCACGAGAUCUAACCAUGGGCACAUGAAUUAAAUAUUGUCAACUUAAUGACAAGGUAUAUAUCGUUAUUCUCUCCAUCACCAUCAACUAUAUAUAUGCUGAAUUAUAUUUAGUUUACAUCCACUGAUGCAUGCAUCAUCCAUCACAAUUAAGGGAUUCUCUAGCUAGCUAUGCGAUGAUAAAAAUUUCAACAUACUACAUACUAGCUCUGAAGAAAUUAAAGCAUGCACAGUUGAGAUUGAGAUCGAAACUAAAUAAAGACCGUACGUACAUAUUGCGAUGACCAUCCACGUACAAUGCAUUCAACCGCAGCAUAUAAGACCACGCAUUUACUAAUUAUUAAAUGAAAUUUUAUAUUCUUUAGUUAAAUUAGUUGUUCUUAAUAUACAAUUACAUAUAUACACAUGCAAAUUAAUAUAUAGCUGCUGAAAAGAGCUAGAGGGGGUGAGGGCCCCGUCUUCCACAAUGUCUCCUCCAUCACCGCGAGAAUCAGCAUCUUCCUUUGUCACGAGCCAUGGCCUUCCAUUAGCUAACUAGGGCUUCUUACUAGCAAGCCGUAGCUUCUGUUAGUCACCUUAAAUACACGGCGCCACCAUCGCCAUCAUGUCACACCGCAAGUAAGCAACCAGAAACCACACUCAGUAAGCUAGCAGUGUGCAACAGCAGCUACUACCUGGUUCUCUCUUAGCUUGCUGCAUGCUAAUCACUACUUGUGUACUGUGAUUGCAGUAGCAGUUAGGGUUAGCAGAUCCCGGAUCAUCGAUCGGAUUGAUCAAGCUAGCUAGCUGAUCGAUUGGGAUUUGCAUCGACGAUCAUUAAGCUAGCUGAUCGAUGGAGGGCGGUGGAUGGGAUGAUCAGGGGAAGGACGCGGGAGAGGCCACCAAGUACCGCGGCGUUCGGCGCCGCCCGUCGGGCAAGUUCGCCGCCGAGAUCCGCGACUCCAGCCGGCAGAGCGUGCGCGUGUGGCUCGGCACCUUCGACACAGCGGAGGAGGCGGCGCGGGCGUACGACCGCGCGGCCUACGCCAUGCGCGGCCACCUCGCCGUGCUCAACUUCCCCGGCGAGGCGCGCAACUACGUGCGCGGCGGGUCGUCGUCGUCGUCUUCCCGCCAGCAGCAGCAGGGAGGAAGUGGCCGGCAGGUGAUCGAGCUGGAGUGCCUGGACGACCAGGUGCUGCAGGAGAUGCUCAAGGGAGGUGACGGAAAAAACAAUUGACACACAUAUCGUUCUGAUCUGGUGACUGCAUGCCCUGCCCAGCACCUACCAGCUCGGUCUUUCAUUCUUCUGAUCAACCUAUAUUAAUUAUAAAUCUACAUGCUUCUCAGCAGCUUGUUCAAUUUCAAGGCCGGAUUUCUUAUCCUUAAUUAAUAAUCUAAAAAAAAGGCCUGCUCAAUUUCUUCCGUGUGCAUGUAUACCAAGCUUGGAAGUUAAUACAGGAUCUGUUUGCUCAAAAACCAGUGAUGAUCUGAUGAUGACCUGAUCAUCAUCUGUGACCCAUGUAUAUUGAUCUUAAUUGCAUAACAAUAGCACGUGCUUGCUUUGCUUAAAUAACCCAUUAGCCUUUUGUAAAGAUCGCACUCUCAGCUCCUAUGUUUCCGGUAGUGCAUGCAUCAUCAGGGAUAUGAUCGAUCUACUGAUCGAUGAAGGAUCCGAGCUGAGGUGCUGCGAUAUUGCUGAUUGUGUCUCCACUCAAUCUCCACAUUAUUUUUCAGUAUUAACCUGUGGUGAAUUCAAGGUAUAAACCUCUCAUGCAUACACCCAGAUAUAUAGCUAAUCCAAAAAGACCAACUAAUUAAUAACAAGAUGCAUAUGGUUUGUUGGUUCCACACAGAUAGAAGAGCAUAAAAUGCUCGACAACAUAUAUUCAAUUGUUAUGCGUAUGCAUGUAAACAGUUAAUGAUGUAUGAAGAAGUGGCAUAGAUAAUCCCUAGCUUUAAUUUACCACACGAAAUAAUCUCUCUGUGGCCUUUUGCAAUUAAGCACAUUCAUCCUCCGUUCUUGUGUGUACGCAGAUUGCAUGUUCUGUUGCCAUGGUGACGAUCAGAGCAACCGUGCAAAAUUUGGCACUUUCAGGUUGCAACAGAGGUCACAGCAAUCCUUUCCAAAAUAAGCUGCUCUAAACUGCAUAAAGUCAUAUAUAUGGUUUUAGGUGUGACCAUCCAUAUUUGAAAUAGUAUAUGUAAUUAAACUGCUAUGUAUGUGAAGCUGGUAUUAAUAGGUUUCAAGUUUCAUUAUGAAAUUUAUAUCUUUACCUAUGCUGUUAUAUGUACUUUAGAAUAUAUAUAGUAACUUUGCUAUGUUCAAAGUAACAAGCAAAGUACUACAUUAGAAUAUAUAUCUAUAGUAUUUUUGAGAUCAGGUGGCAAUUCUAAACAUUCUACUACUGUCACAAUCAUCAUAUCAAUAGCAGCAUUUUUCUUCUUCCUCAAUCACUAAUUAAAAUACAAAUAUAUGGAUUCAUGAAUUUGUUCCAGUAAAACAUAUAAUAAAACAUCAAAAGAAUAAAGAAUAUUUUUCCUACUUCAUGUUGUAUAUAUACACUUGUUGAACCUGAAUAUCUAUAUGAAGGGGAAAAAAAGUGUUUUGGAGGGUUGUGGUGAAAUGGUGACACGUACGGCAUGGAUAGGGGUAGAAUAAAUAAUCAUUGGGUAUACAUUGUACACAGCCUGGAGCUGUGUCAUUCAACCUAUGAAUAAUUAUGUGGGUUCAUUAAUUAUUAGGGAAUCAUGAAGAAUUUCUAAUUGUUCUACCCUGCUGUGUAUAUAGGCCACCAUUGUAGGUGACUCACAUUAGCUCCUAGAAUUUUUUUUUAAGAUAAUGGCAUAUAUCAUAUCAUCUUGAAUUUCUAUAAGUUGCAUAUAUAAUUCUUGCUUUAACCACGGCAUUCUUGUCGAAAUAGAAGUAUCCAAUUUAGUCCUAGUUCGUGUAUUAGUUGUCAAGUAACCAAAGGUGUCUCUUCCCAAAACCUUGUAGCGCAUUUUCACAUCCAUCCACUCUUCAUUUAGCCAUGUACUUUGGGUUCCUAUUCCCUCUGCUUACAUGCACGUUCUCUUUUCAUUUGCAUGCCAAUAUGAUUAUUAUCUACUAGACAUUUUUAGCCUCUAUCGGGACAAUGAAAUUGCAUGCAUGCAAACGCUUCGUUAACCUGUUAUUAAUCAUUUGGAUAUACUAGCUUAAUUAGCUGUAUUCAUUUUCCAUUUUUUAUCUAUUUGGAAGCCGAGUGCUAAUUCUUAACAAGAUGAGACACAUCUAUCCGUCACAUGCAUAAUUUGUCGUCACUUAAGUAUUACAUUAGGCUACACAGCUUGUGAAAAGUCGUAUGAGCUUUACUCAACAAAUUAGCGCAUAGCUGGCCUAUAAAUAAACCUGGAAGAAGACUGGCCUUCAAAUGCUUGGCCCUCAUCAUAUCCUCCCAAAUAAUAAUGUUAAGCUUGUCCCAUAACAGUUUCUUUACAUAUAUACAUAUAUUGUGUAGGGACAGUUAUGAAAAGGUUCUGUUGUUUGAGUUCAAUGGAUGCAGUGGUUGAAAUCAUGCAUGCUGCUUUGCUGGAUGGUGAUGCUGAUGCUGUAAAGGGGUGAUAUGUAUACGUAAUCGAAAUUACGUAAUAAGAUGAGGCGUAGGUGUUUAAACAAGAGUAUAAAGUGGAGAUAAAGGCUAGCUUGAUUCAGUUAUAAUUAAGUUGGAAACAGUAUAAUGCAUGACCUACCAGCAGGAACAAACUAAACCAUAAUCAUAUACGGCUAGCUAGCAGAGACGACUUUUCUUGCUCCGAAUAGAUCAGCAGCAAUGGGCAUGGUUUCAGAUUGAUUUGUGUUGUGUGGCAGGCAUAUAUAGAUACAAAACUAGAUUUAUAAUGAGUAACCAGUACUCUGGAAUCAGAUGCAUUUUCUAGCUGGUCCUUUAUUUGGUCUGGGCAAAGGUAAACUUUUUGUGCCUUUGUUAGAUUUGCGGAUCAACCUUUUUCUAAUCAGUUGGGAGCUGAGAGUGAGCAUACCAGCUUCUAGAAGGAAUUAGCUGCAUGCGUGCCUGACAUCAAAUUUUUUUGACGACACAUAAGCACAAAAAGAAGCUUAAUUCAUCGCCAGUAAGUAGAAGGAGCUAGGAGCAUGCAUGUGGAUUAUAUAUACUAGGCGAGAAUUUGAUGCUCUUGACCAGGGCAAGUUGAAGCCAGUACGUCAAUUCAUAGUCAUGGAUGCAUGCAUGCGGCAGAGUAUGCAGUACCGAUAUUUCAGAUUACUGUAUGACAAAAGAAGAAUGGCUCUCUCCUCUCCUCUGAAUUGCAACCAAAAGAGACAGAAGCACACACACUGUACACUGUGCAACAAUUCCAUCUCUAAGUUAACGUGCCGUUGAUUAACACCUAGUGUUGCCAUAAUAAAUUGAAGAAUCAUCAGGAAUAAAAAAUAAUAUAGAGCAUGUUUAGCAGCACAUGUAGUUGUUGUUCUUUUUAAGGAAAGGCGGCAUAUAUAUAGUUGAAGAGAAGGUCCGGCUUUAUUCAGUUUUCCAGCCAAGUGGGCCAUAUUCCCACUUGAAUCGGCCCAUAUGGCUACGUAGCUGCAAUAAUUGAUUGUUUUUGUUGCAGAGGUCUGUCGACUUGUCUGUGGAUGGUCGGGGCCAUUUUUGGCCCAAUUCGUGAGAUAUAUAGAGCAUGUUUUUUUUUUCUUUCUAUUCGCUUUCGAUACUGGAGGAGUAAGGGCAUUUUAAAAUUUUGAUGAAUUAUUUCAGCCUCCCACACCGUUCUUGUUGUGCAGGUGUCCAUGGAUAUCUUUGUUUCAGAGAAUUUGCUCAAAGGAUUAUCUAAAGCUCAUGUUUUUUUUACCUCUCAUGUUGUUGCAGGUCUAUCUAACAUGUCUCUGGAUUUUCAGAUGCCGUGGCAUUUCCAGUCCAAUUCAUUAGGCUAUAGCUCAAUUUUUUUUGGAUCUUCCUAUUUUCUCUGGAUGUAUUGGAGGAGUAAGAGCAUUUUGAAAUUUUGACCAAAUAUUUGUAAAAAGCUUGUGCUAUCCUCGUGUUUUUUAGCCUCCCAUAUCGUUCAACUACUGUGGAGGUGUCCAUGGUUAUCUCUUUCUCGGAGGAUUCUUGGAUCAAUGAGUGACCUAAAGCUCAUGCUUUUUGCCUCACAUGUUGUUGCAAGUCUGUUGGAUGUGUUUAUAUAUUUUUUUAUUACAUGACAUUUUCGGUCCAAUGCGUGAGCUACAUAGCUCAAGUUUUUUAUCUUUCAAUCCGCUCAGAAUUUUACUGAUGGAGUUUGAGCAUUUUCAUUUUUUAGGAUCUUUUGCAAAAAAGAAAAAAAAUCUUGUUAUACUCCCUUGGUACUAAAAUGUAAGAGAUUUUAGUUUUGUUCUAUAUCAAAAUUCUUUAACUUCAAUUAAGUUUGUAGAAAAUAUAUUAACAUCUACAGCACAUUAAUACCAAAUAAACACAUACAUAUUUCAUGAUGGAUUUAAUGAAAUUAAUUUGAUGUUACGACGAUGCAUUUUUCUAUAAACUUAAUGUUAGAGAUAUUUGACUUUAAAAAUAAAACCUCUUGCUUUUGGGAACGGCAUGUGUACUGUAGUGCUCUUUGUUCUUGCCACACUACGGAUGGGUCAUUCUGCCUUUUAUUUUUAUUUUCAGCUUCACACACUAAAACAUAAAGCACCAGUACUAACUGGAAAUAAAUCGGAUAUUAUUAUUGGAUCACACGCCCCUUGCAUUGGUACCUUGCUCUCGAAAGCGAAAAUCAGUAAAUUCUGUAAUACUUCUGUUAAACUCAUUGCUCUAUCAAUGAAAUAGACGGUGCCUUGUAUUUGCUCAUGCAACAACAAAAAAAUCGAGUACAACAACACACAUAAGACUUGUUUCUUUUAUUCAUUGAUGAUACAAAAACAUAGUACAGCAUAAGCACGUGAAUGCAUGCUGAUGAUGGAAACACGCACCGGAAAACGUUGAUACACAUAUACGUCCACACAAAACAGUAGUGCUACAUGUACAUAGCUCACUCUUACACAAAUACUAUUGCUUGGUCAUAGCCAAGAGCUAGAUAGAUGCAUGGGUUGCAUGCGCGUUGGUCGGUCACAUUCUCUCAGUUCCCUCCCAUGGUGCCUGUGCCAAUGGGUGACGAGAGGGACGGUGGCUCCGGCUUUGAUGGUGUCGGUUUGGGGCCUGGCUGGGGAUCUGGCUUGGAUGGUUGAGGUUGGGGUUUCGGCUCAGGCUCAGGUGUAGGUUUCGGGCUUGGCUCAGGCUUGGGUUUGGGCUUCGGUGUGGGUUUAGGAUCUGGGCGGGGAACUGGCGUGGAUGCCCUUGGCUUUGAUUUUUCUUCAAGUGAAGAUUUGGGGUUCAGCUCAAGCUCUAGCUUUGACGGUCCCGGUUGGGGUUCGGGCUUUAGGUCAGGUUGUGGAGCGGGGUUAUUCGGAUCCGGUUGCGGUUCUGGCUUUGGAUCAGGCUGUGGUGUUGGUUUGGGUUCCGGCUUCGGGUCAGGUUGUGGCGUGGGGUUUGGAUCGGGCUGCGGUUGGGGCUUUGGGUCAGGCUGUGGUGUUGGUUUGGGUUCCGGUUUCUUGUCAGGUUGUGGCGCAGGGUUUGGAUCAGGCUGCGGUUGCGGCUUCAGGUCAGGCUGCGGUUGGGGCUUUGGGUCAGGUCGUGGUGUGAGGUUUGGAUCAGGCUGCGGUUGGGGCUUUGGAUCGGGCUGCGGUUGGGGGUUUGGGUCAGGUUGUGGUGUUGGGUUUGGAUCAGGCUGCGGUUGGGGCUUUGGGUCGGGCUGUGGUGCCGGGUUUGGAUCAGGCUGCGGUUGUGGCUUUGGGUUGGGUUGUGGUGUUGGUUUGGGAUCUGGCUUUGGGUCUGGUUGUGGUGUUGGUUUGGGAUCUGGCUUUGGAUCAGGUUGUGGUUCGGGCUGUGGUGUUGGUUUGGGCCGUGGCUUUGGGUCGAUCACCCUGCCACAGGCAAGGUCAGGAACACUUGCAGCAAGUGUGAGGACUAGGGCCAAGAGGAGAGCGGACCUCAUCGCGCUAGCUGCCACUGGAAUCGUAGC